rnacentral:lncRNA from 1 species
GUAUGGAUGACUGAAAAGGAACAAGAGGGAACUUUAUGAGCACAAAUUCAGCGAUGUUUAGAGCCAAUGAGAGUCAGCUGCAGAUGACCACAGUAGCCCAAACGAGAAGGAACAAUUUACGUGAUGGGAGAAAAUGCUCCAACAUGUGAAGAAAAAGUGACCACUCCUCUUUAUGAUGAGAAAUUAGACAAACUGAUAAUCAGCAGCUCUUCAUGGACUUAUCAGAGAACUGAAGUUGCAGGGCAAUCUGCCACUCUAAAAUUUGGAGACCCAGGCCCGACUACUGAGACCCCACCAGAUCUCCUCACCUGGAGCAGAAUCUAUGGAACCGUAACUGACAGAAACAUUUAACUGAUAAUUUUGAUGAACUGUUGGGAAAUGAAUGUAGACUUGUGUCAGAAGGAAAAACUCCUGGGGCAGCAGUCUUAAAAGUGUCCCAUACUCAGGGGCUUUACCUGCGGGAAAACCACCAGGUUCUCAUAACGAAAAUCCAAGAAAAGUUCUCCACAUUGUCUAGAAGGGGGAGGAGAAGAAUAAUCAUUGUGAAAUAUACCUAGAGACUUCUCCAUAACAACGACCUACUUUCCAGGGGGAAAAACUUUGCCAGAGACUUAUCUCAGUUGGAGGAAGACCAUUCCUCCAACGCCAGGCCCUUCUUGUCU